AUUGAGCGCUGGCGGCAUGCCUUACACAUGCAAGUCGAACGGCAGCGGGGGAGAAGCUUGCUUUUCCUGCCGGCGAGUGGCGAACGGGUGAGUAAUACAUCGGAACGUGCCCUGUAGUGGGGGAUAACUAGUCGAAAGAUUAGCUAAUACCGCAUACGACCUGAGGGUGAAAGUGGGGGACCGCAAGGCCUCAUGCUAUAGGAGCGGCCGAUGUCUGAUUAGCUAGUUGGUGGGGUAAAGGCCUACCAGGGCGACGAUCAGUAGCUGGGCUGAGAGGACGAUCAGCCACACUGGGACUGAGACACGGCCCAGACUCCUACGGGAGGCAGCAGUGGGGAAUUUUGGACAAUGGGCGAAAGCCUGAUCCAGCAAUGCCGCGUGUGUGAAGAAGGCCUUCGGGUUGUAAAGCACUUUUGUCCGGAAAGAAAUGGCUCUGGUUAAUACCUGGGGUCGAUGACGGUACCGGAAGAAUAAGGACCGGCUAACUACGUGCCAGCAGCCGCCGUAA
rnacentral:rRNA from 1 species